GACGAACGCUGGCGGCGUGCCUAAUACAUGCAAGUAGAACGCUGAAGAGAGGAGCUUGCUCUUCUUGGAUGAGUUGCGAACGGGUGAGUAACGCGUAGGUAACCUGCCUGGUAGCGGGGGAUAACUAUUGGAAACGAUAGCUGAUACCGCAUAAAAUUGAUUAUUGCAUGAUAAUUAAUUGAAAGAUGCAACUGCAUCACUACCAGAUGGACCUGCGUUGUAUUAGCUAGUUGGUGAGGUAACGGCUCACCAAGGCGACGAUACAUAGCCGACCUGAGAGGGUGAUCGGCCACACUGGGACUGAGACACGGCCCAGACUCCUACGGGAGGCAGCAGUAGGGAAUCUUCGGCAAUGGGGGGAACCCUGACCGAGCAACGCCGCGUGAGUGAAGAAGGUUUUCGGAUCGUAAAGCUCUGUUGUAAGAGAAGAACGGGUGUGAGAGUGGAAAGUUCACACUGUGACGGUACCUUACCAGAAAGGGACGGCUAACUACGUG
rnacentral:rRNA from 1 species